UACAGAGGGUGCGAGCGUUAAUCGGAAUUACUGGGCGUAAAGCGCGCGUAGGCGGCUUUGCAAGUCGAGUGUGAAAUCCCCAGGCUCAACCUGGGAACUGCAUUUGUGACUGCACGGCUAGAGUGUGUCAGAGGGGGGUAGAAUUCCACGUGUAGCAGUGAAAUGCGUAGAUAUGUGGAGGAAUACCGAUGGCGAAGGCAGCCCCCUGGGAUAACACUGACGCUCAUGCACGAAAGCGUGGGGAGCAAACAGG
rnacentral:rRNA from 1 species